rnacentral:rRNA from 1 species
GAUGAACGCUGGCGGCGUGCUUAACACAUGCAAGUCGAACGAAGCACUUAGACGGAAGUUUUCGGAUGGAAGAUUAGGUGACUGAGUGGCGGACGGGUGAGUAACGCGUGGGCAACCUGCCUCAUACAGGGGGAUAACAGUUAGAAAUAGCUGCUAAUACCGUAUAAGCUUACGGUACCGCAUGGUACAGUAAGAAAAACUCCGGUGGUAUGAGAUGGGCCCGCGUCUGAUUAGCUAGUUGGUAAGGUAACGGCUUACCAAGGCGACGAUCAGUAGCCGACCUGAGAGGGUGACCGGCCACAUUGGGACUGAGACACGG